AACUGCUUCUCCAAACCAGGCGAGACGGAACUCAAAAUAACGGGAAUCAACGCUACCACAAGGCCAAACGCCACGAUAACUCUCAGUUGCAGUGCUACUGGGUAUCCUAUGGAGAACAUCACUUGGCAUUAUCAGUCCUGCCCAAACGGCGUACCAUGCCCCAAAUUCUUCAGUGAGCUAGAGGAUUCUCAGAUUACGUAUGAAGUACACAAGGAGAACCACCAUUCAUCCGAAUGCACGUUUGUGGCUACAGAAUCUGCCUGGAUCGUAUGUCGAUCCGGAAAGAAAAACAAAUCUGCUGAUAUUGUGGUUUCAGAGUUCGAACAGCCCUUUUCCUUCAAGUACAGCGGCACCGGUGGAAUGAAGGACCUGCAAGCAACUUCUAAUGACACUUCAGUCGAGACAGACGCUUUCACCUUGACUUGCGCAGCCGCCAAGUUCUACUUUCGUAACGUCUCUGGCGUUCUCGCACACAGACGAGGGAGUGUCUUCAGGAGAUAAUGAAGUACCUGUUGCAUACAAAGAAAAUGAUCUCGACCUGAUUGCUACCUUAGACGUUGCAAACGUCAGCAGUAGACACGAAGGGACGUACAAGUGCACUGGACUCCCAAAACCAGGUGUUGUGAGCAGCGAAAUAACAUUGUACCACAAAGUCGAAGCUCUCAUCCCUGUAGUUCUCAACACAACAGGAAACAUGUGGCCAGAUGACCACGAGGAAAUUUGGAUGGCCGGAAAUGCUUUCGCUUUCAAUUGUUUCGUCUCCGGGACGCCUGUCAUCGACAUCUCCUGGAAAAAAGAGAAUCAGCCUCUUCCCAGUGAUUUCGGUGAAUUCAGGGAGAACAACCAGACCAUAAUGAUCCCUCGCCUAGAUCCCAAAAUGCACUCAGGUCAUUAUGUAUGUGAGGCUAGAAAUAGGGGUGGAUCUGUAAGGGGAUUUCUCACUCUAACUGUGAAAGGUUGACGGAAACUUAAGUCAGUUACGAAGGAGAUUUCAAUCACCAAGGGUCUCGUAACUCAGAUACUCUGAGCUCUAUUGAUUAUAUAAGGAUAUACAGCUAUAUCUUUGAAGUGACGACGACUAUUCCUUUCGACAUGUAAUCGCCGUUUAAACCCAGCCAGGAAGAAACAUUCCUUCAUCGCAGUCUCUCACUCUACACGUACUUCGCCUUCGUCCCAGGAUGAUAUCGGUGGGUCUGUAAAACUCAGGGGGAGUUUCGUUUGUCAAUCUGAAAUCAUUUGGAGGGAUAAUGCUUUCCCAUAUAAAAAUGCCUUCCAAUUACCAUCACUUACUUUUUAGUAUUUUCAUUUAAGCAUCUGUUUUUCAUACCUUGCAUAUUUGUAAUACGAGGUUUCGUACCCUUCCAGGGAUAUCAUGUAUUAUGUACUACGUGGACGUCAGUUUGGACUGUUGGUAUAUAUAUAUAUAUUUAGAUUUUCCAAGGUAUGCAACUUGCCAAGUGUUAUUACGUGCUGCACAUGCUCAUAAUUAAAUUUAGAUAUAUGCAUACGAUAAUUGUGUAGUGUUUAAUUAGGCAUUUGGUAAUAUUUUAAGGUAUUUUGGAAGUGGCUGAAUUACUGCGGCUCCCCCAAGCUUCACGAUGAUCAACUUUGUGUAUUAGCUGCCGCAUCAGCACCUGGAUGAUAGGACAGUUUUCAAUUACAAUAAAUUACUUAAUUCUUCUUAAUAUUUCAAUUAACCUUAUCAAUUUCCCGGUGUAUGAAUAAAAAUUCAGCGCAUGGCGACCGUGACAGGAUUAGGCAUUAUAGGUUACGUGCGUGACAUAGGACGUGAAUUGCGGUGAAUUGGAGGUUUCUUCCUGUGGGGUUUUUCACUUACAAUAUUUUAAAUCCCUCUUAUUGCAAGUUUCUUUAAAGUUCAGUGUCAUUUUUGCGAAUUCGUAGCUAAUGUUUAUCACUUGGUGAUUUAUCUAAGAGUUCAGUGUAAAAUAUUUUUCGAUUCGUAGUUUGAUGUUUAUCCCUUUGCAAAAUAAUUUAGUAUUUGAGUUCACCUAAUUUUUGCGUUGCUGUGAAAGUUUUUGCUUAGUAAUAACUUUGUUGCAUAUAUGUACUAAGUAUCUUUUACCAUUUUUUGAAAUUUUCGCUGUGUAUUGCAGUAAUUAUACUUAUAUUGGUGUUUGUAUGCUUAUUUGUCUUCAUAAUGGCUGAAUUGGUAGUGCUAAUUGGUCAGCGUAAGAUUAUUAGGAAGAAGGUUACAGAAUGUGCCAACCAUUCUUCACAGUACCUUUCAUUAGAUAACACGGCAAAAGUAUCUGAGCAGGGUGUUCUCUUGGAGUACAGGAAGAGAUUAAGUGACUUGGAUUCUAAAAUACAGACUCUAAAAUUUUCAGGGGAAUUUAGAGACGAGGAUUUGGAGGCUGAGCUCUCUGCAUGUCAGUCGUACUAUGAUAAAAUUUCAGGUAUUGUGCCUUUGUUGGAUGUUAGUGUCAAUGCUGGAAGCCCUCCACUUUCAUCUACUACUGAUAUUGCUAGGAGCCUUUUGAGGCAACCCACUGCACCUCUACCAAAAUUCCAAAAUAGAGGGACUAUUAUUGAUAGGAAACUGCAAGAAGCAACUGAUCAGAUUUUGAAUAUGGAGAGCCAAUUUUAUUUGAACUAUGAUCAGAAAGUUUACAGUGAUGAAUCUAAUCGGCUCGAUGAUUCUCUUGUGGACUACACUUUCAGAAAUUUGCACACGAAAGGUGAUGGACGCAUAGUUGUUCCCCUGUUAUGGAAUGGGAAGGUAUCGCACCUCCUUUCGAGAAAAGUCUCUCUUUCCAAGGCUGUUCUUCAAUCAAAUUGAAAAAUUACUUCGUAAGAAAGGUUCAUUGCAGUUGGUAGAUAACUGCAUAAAGGAGCAAUUGAAGGCGGGUAUUAUUGAGCCUAUUUUGGACUUGGAGGUAUUUAAGGCUGAAUAUCCUAACUACUCUUUCUUACCUCAUAUGCCAGUCUUUAAGCCAGAAAGGGAAACUACGAAGUGUCGCAUAGUAUUUCUUUCUAAAUUUGCAAGAAUCCUCUAAGAGACUGUCACUGUCACAUAAUCAAUAUAUGUAUGCUGGGCCUAACUUAAAUCAAAAGCUCUCCUCUGCAUUUCUUAAUAUUAGGUUUGAUGAAAAAAUUUUGAUUUUUGAUUUGAAGAAAGCUUUUAAUAUGUUGGCUUUAAGUGAAAUUGAUCAGUCUAGGCUAUUAUUUUUUUGGUUUCGGAAUGUCACCACAGGUGAUUACACCCCAGUUGCUUAUAAAAAUGUCAGGCUUUCAUUUGGACUUCGGUGUAGCCCAUUUCUUUCGAUGGCUUCAUUGUAUUAUAUGUUAAUCUUGACUUCCAGUAAUGAUUCAAGAAUCGAUGAACUCAAGAAACUUAUAUAUGCUUUAAUAUAUAUGGAUAAUGGUGCUGUCACAAUGAACAACUCUGAUGACUUGAGAUGGGCCUACGAGCAGUUAGCUGGCAUAUUCAAACCUUUUAAAUUUGAAAUUCAGCAACUGGUGACUAAUGACAUUGAUCUGCAGUCUGACAUAGAUCGGUCAGAAGUUCUUACCCUGGAAGUCAACAAAUUGUUUGGGCUUGAAUGGAAUAGACUUUCGGAUGAUAUUUUCACUAGGCCAAUUUCCCUUGACCUAGAAGCUAAUACCAAAAGAUUAAUUCUUAGGUCAAUUGCCACUCAGUUCAAUAUAUUUGGUUUCAACUUGCCUUUAUUUAACCAAUGUAGGCUUUAUAUGCAUAACUUGCAAUGUCAAAAGGGUUUGAACUGGGACCAGCCUCUUAAUAGUCAACAGCUUAAAGACUGGAGGAAUAUCUGUAGACAGUGUAAUUCAUCGCCCCCUCUUAAAGUAACUCGUUUUGUGGGUCGAAGGGAUGGUGAGUAUCAUAUAAUUGUUUUUACUGAUGCCAGUUGUGACAUAUAUUGGUGUGUAAUUUAUUUAUUGAAUGUUGAGUCUGGCAAACUUACUUUUAUUAAUGCUAAAAAUCGGUUGGUUAAUACCCAAUUGAAAGGUAAAUCCAUACCAUCUUUAGAGAUCCACGCCAUUAAUCUAGGAGUCGAACAAUCUGUUGGUCUUUAUUUGGAUCUUGCUGGUCCCAAUUGUAUAAAACCUAUAAAGGUGACAAAGAUUUGUCUAUUUUCAGAUUCCUCUUGUGCCCUGCAGUGGUUAAUAAGUUCUUCGCUUCAACUUAAAAAAAUGAACCAAUGUUCUACUUUUGUAUUGAACAGAAUUUACAGUAUACAAAAACUGUGUGAAACAUAUCCUGUUCAUUUUGGGUUUAUUAAUGGCAAGGAGAAUCCUGCUGACAUGGUAACCAGGUGCACAUCAUAUAAAUUGUUAAUGAAGUCUUGUUUCCUUUCAGGCCCGGACCUGAGUAAUAUUAGGGCGCAAACCAUGCAGUUCACUAUUCCUCAAGCGGGUUAUCUUUCUGGAAAUUACAUGAAUCUUUCUAAUGUUCCUUUAGUUAAGAGAAAUUACUUGGUGAAGAUUUCUGAUUUUUCUGACUUCCGAAGACUUGUUUUGCUGUACCGUCGGUGCAUAAUAUGCAUACACAAAUGGAAAGCUAAAGUGAGAAGACAAGUUGAUGUACAAGAAGAUAAUAAUUUUUUUGCUUUAGCUCUUGUACAUUUGAUUUUGACCGAUCAACAAAAUCACUUUGCUGAUGUUUUGGAGCAUUUUUCUAAAGGUUUUUCUGCAGCAAAGGAUAUACCAGGUAUAGUUUCUCAGUUUAACUUGUUUGUUGAUAACAAUGGCAUUUUGAGAGUGAAGAGCAAAUUUAAGAAAGAGAAAAAAUUUCCCAUUCUAUUAUCAAGAGACAGUCAUUUAACGAAGUUAAUUAUAUUGGAUAUUCAUCACAAAUUAGCUCAUUCUGGAUGCUAUGCUGUUCUUUCUGAAUUAAGAAGACAUUAUUUUAUUCCUAGAAAUUUUUCAGUGGUUAAAAAGAUUCUGAGGCAAUGUGUUCACUGCAAGAGAUUUAAUGCACGCCCUGUCAAUUUAAAUCAGAAUUGUUACAAGGAAUUCAGGGAAGACCCACCAGCUGUGCCUUUCGGCAAUAUUUUCGUAGAUUAUAUAGGGCCUUUUACAGUUAAACUGGAGAAGGAAAAGGGUAAGGUAUGGCUAUUAUGUUUUACUUGCACUUGGUCUCGUGCAAUUAAUUAAAAAAUUUGUAGAACACUCAGUGUGCCAGAUUUUCUUAGGGCAUUUUCUCUUCAUUGCUUCGAGUUUGGCAUUCCACAGUUAUGCAUUAGUGACUUAGGGUCACAAAUAGUUGCAGGAGCUAAUGUCAUAUCUUCAUUUUUGAAUGACCCACACACACAGUUGUAUUUUGAGGAACGUGGUGUUAAACCAUUAACUUUUCAACAAUAUUUCAAAGGAUGUAGUCAGUUGGGCUCCCUUGUCGAGAUUUGUGUCAAGUUAACAAAGCGACUUCUCUAUGGGUCCAUCAAGAACAAUAUUCUCUCCUACUUUGAUUUUGAGUUUACUGUAUGUCAUGUUGUCCACUUGGUAAAUCGACGACCAAUAUCUUUUAAAGAGGCUCUUAGGGAUAGUGCAGCAGAAGACCUUCCUGAACCAAUAACACCCGAAAUGUUAAUUAGGGGGUAUGAGCUUUCCUCACUCAAUGUCAUUCCAGAUUUACAACCUUUACCCAAAGAUGAAGAAUUUGUCCCUUGUGGAGCUACUAAUAAAUUUGAACCACUGUCUAGGAUUAGGAGUAAACUUAUAGAUAUUUACCAUCAUGAGUUUAUGCAAACACUUUUAAGCCAAGCAGUUGAUAGGAAGGGUAGAUAUCGCCCGGUGACUCAUCAUCCUCUAAAAGUAGGUGACAUUGUUUUGAUCAAGGAAGAUAAUACUAAGAUUAACAAUUAUCCUUUAGGUCGGAUAAAGGAAACUUUUACGAAUGAUCUUGGGGAGACUACACAUGCUGUAGUAUUUAAAGGACGUACCAGACAAAUUUGUAAACUCCACGUUAAUAAACUAAUACCUUAUCUUUCCUUAGAUGAUGAAGACUCAAAGUCCAGUGAUUUGCAAAACUUAGACAAAUCAUCACCAGCUUCUGAGAGGUCUAAAAGAAAGGCUGCUGUGGAAAGCCGGAGAAAAACCUCUGAAAUGUUGAAUUUAUAAACUUUGAUCAAUUUAAAUUUUGUAUGCAUUGUAUAUAUAUUCUUAUGUAUUUAUCAAAAUCCAAAAACACAUGUUUUUGGAUUCGUUCCCCUGCAGUGUACUGAAAUUCCAUAUGGAAUUUGUAUUUUUUUAUUAUUUGUUUAAUUAGCAUGGUCACUGGAAGACAGUUAACGUAGUUUUCAAAUAUUUAACUACCCCCUUGGUUGUUAACAGCUCACUGCCUUCCAGCGGCCGUUCUGGUUCUGUCCUAACCAACCACUAAUGAUUUUGCUUUCUUCCUGAGGUUGACGGAAACUUAAGUCAGUUACGAAGGAGAUUUCAAUCACGAAGGGUCUCGUAACUCAGAUACUCUGAGCUCUAUUGAUUAUAUAAGGAUAUACAGCUAUAUCUUUGAAGUGACGACGACUAUUCCUUUCGACAUGUAAUCGCCGUUUAAACCCAGCCAGGAAGAAGCAUUCCUUCAUCCCAGUCUCACUCUACACGUACUUCGCCUUCGUCCCAGGAUGAUAUCGAUGGGCUCUAUUCCAUGAUAAUAAAGACGGGAUUCUCUAUCCUGACUAAUACAAUGAAACGAUUGACAUUUUGGGUGUGGGAGUGAAUACUUAGCCAGGAGAAUGGAAUGAUAACUUAAUAGUUUUCUUUGUGGGGCAGACUUGGGAUUUUAUCACUAUGACUUAUUAAUCAUUUUAUCCUAUUUUAUGUUCAUCUGCUUUGGGUAAUAAAUAGUAUAUUUUUGUAUUAAUGAGAGCUUAAUAGCCUAAUGACAUGUUUGCAGACAGAGGGCACCAUUGACAACAGGUAAAGGUUUCCAAUUUGUGUAGUUUUGAUAAAAGGGUGUAAGAGUGGUGGCAGGCGGUUUAAGAAGCUUUUUAUAUGUUUUAUAAGCUGUAGGUACGCUAACGAAGAAACUGGUAACUAGUUAGACAUACAUUUUAUUUAUUUAUUUAUUUAUUUUUUGGUAGGAAAGGGGGUUAUAAUCAUGUCACAGGCAACUCGGGGCUCUUUUUGCUGUUUCAAUGGUUUGGGUGUGGACCAGCGCUGGGCAUCUCUCUGGCUCAGUCAGUGUCGGCCAUUUUGUGAUUCAAGAAAACCAGUGUUUUAAAACGUGAAGGGAAAAAGUUUAAUUUUCGACGUGUUAAAGUGUUUCACGAGUGUGGUGAACAGGCUACGCAUAUUUGCGGUACGUAUACGAAUUCGGUUUCCAGUCAUGUGAAGAUGUGAGUGUAUUUUCAAGUUUUCUUUCCUAUUUUCUCCUCUUUAUCUUUUAUUUUUAUUAUUAUUCUUUUUUUUGUGGCGAAUUUACUCAAGGGGGCAUUUUUGUUUUGAUGUCUCUCGAAAUUCGACGGACAUGGUAAUGUUGUGAGCGGGGGUUUUUGUUGCAAGUCAUGCCCUGAGAGAGAGAGAGAGAGAGAGAGAGAGAGAGAGAGAGAGAGAGAGUUUGUGUGUGUGGCUCUGGUGUCGCUGGGUUGGAUCGCUUAGUAAGCGUUUUGCACCUUUUUUUUUCUUUUUCUAUCCCCUCCCUAUUUUUUGUUGUUGCUUUCGUGGGAUGAUAUACUGGGCGUGGGGGGCGUUUGCUUUUUGUUAUCCAUUAUUGGGGGAAAAUUUGUAUUAAUUUUUCUGGAUUGGGUUUUGUGUAUAUAAAUACAUUGAUGUUAUUGAGAUCGGGGAAUCUUAUAAAACAAAAGAGCAUCCGGAAAAAGAGAAAGAUGGCGGAUAC